ACGUAUUUGAAAUCAACCCGUCAAACUUUGCACACUUUCAUUUUAAAACAUCAUUGCCCAUUCUAUCACGUAAAUCAUUGCCCAUUUUAUCACGUAAAAUACGGCAUCCAAACACGACAUCUCAAAGUUUGCUAUUUUCUUACCAAUAAACCAUCUUUGAAAAAUAGCAUUUGAAAUACAUGAUAUGACAAUCAAAUAUCAUGGAAUUACAUGCUCAGACGAUCAUAAUCAAGUUUAAAUUUAU
rnacentral:lncRNA from 1 species